GACGAACGCUGGCGGCGUGCCUAAUACAUGCCAGUCGAACGCUUCUUUCCUCCCGAGUGCUUGCACUCAAUUGGAAAGAGGAGUGGCGGACGGGUGAGUAACACGUGGGUAACCUACCCAUCAGAGGGGGAUAACACUUGGAAACAGGUGCUAAUACCGCAUAACAGUUUAUGCCGCAUGGCAUAAGAGUGAAAGGCGCUUUCGGGUGUCGCUGAUGGAUGGACCCGCGGUGCAUUAGCUAGUUGGUGAGGUAACGGCUCACCAAGGCCACGAUGCAUAGCCGACCUGAGAGGGUGAUCGGCCACACUGGGACUGAGACACGGCCCAGACUCCUACGGGAGGCAGCAGUAGGGAAUCUUCGGCAAUGGACGAAAGUCUGACCGAGCAACGCCGCGUGAGUGAAGAAGGGUUUCGGAUCGUAAAACUCUGUUGUUAGAGAAGAACAAGGACGUUAGUAACUGAACGUCCCCUGACGGGAUCUAACCAGAAAGCCACGGCUAACUACGU
rnacentral:rRNA from 1 species